rnacentral:rRNA from 1 species
UUUGAUGCGUAGCGUACCAUGCAGUCGAGCGGUAGCCGUCCUUCGGGACUUUGAGAGCGGCGCACGGGUGCGGAACACGUGUGCAACCUACCUUUAUCUGGGGGAUAGCCUUUCGAAAGGAAGAUUAAUACCCCAUAAUAUAUUUGAUGGCAUCAUUAGAUAUUGAAAACUCCGGUGGAUAGAGAUGGGCACGCGCAAGAUUAGAUAGUUGGUGAGGUAACGGCUCACCAAGUCAAUGAUCUUUAGGGGGCCUGAGAGGGUGAUCCCCCACACUGGUACUGAGACACGGACCAGACUCCUACGGGAGGCAGCAGUGAGGAAUAUUGGACAAUGGGUGAGAGCCUGAUCCAGCCAUCCCGCGUGAAGGACUAAGGCCCUAUGGGUUGUAAACUUCUUUUAUACUGGGAUAAACCUACUUACGUGUAAGUAGCUGAAGGUACAGUAUGAAUAAGCACCGGCUAACUCCGUGCCAGCAGCCGCGGUAAUACGGAGGGUGCAAGCGUUAUCCGGAUUUAUUGGGUUUAAAGGGUCCGUAGGCGGACUCGUAAGUCAGUGGUGAAAUCUCAUAGCUUAACUAUGAAACUGCCAUUGAUACUGCGGGUCUUGAGUAAGGUAGAGGUAGCUGGAAUAAGUAGUGUAGCGGUGAAAUGCAUAGAUAUUACUUAGAACACCAAUUGCGAAGGCAGGUUACCAUGUCUUAACUGACGCUGAUGGACGAAAGCGUGGGGAGCGAACAGGAUUAGAUACCCUGGUAGUCCACGCCGUAAACGAUGCUAACUCGUUUUUGGGCUUUAGGGUUCAGAGACUAAGCGAAAGUGAUAAGUUAGCCACCUGGGGAGUACGAUCGCAAGAUUGAAACUCAAAGGAAUUGACGGGGGCCCGCACAAGCGGUGGAUUAUGUGGUUUAAUUCGAUGAUACGCGAGGAACCUUACCAAGGCUUAAAUGGGAAUUGACAGGUUUAGAAAUAGACUUUUCUUCGGACAUUUUCAAGGUGCUGCAUGGUUGUCGUCAGCUCGUGCCGUGAGGUGUUAGGUUAAGUCCUGCACGAGCGCACCCCUGUCACUAGUGCUAGCAUUAGUUGAGGACUCUAGUGAGACUGCUACGCAGUAGAGAGAGUGGGAUGACGUCAAUCAUCACGUCCUUACGCUGGGCCACACCACGUAAUACAUGGACGGUACAGAAGGGCAGCUUAC